AAAUCACCUGAUCACCAAGUGGAAAAAUGGCUUGUAGAGCAGCACUCAAUGUGUUAAGUCCAGGAUUUGUAGCUCAGCUAAUGAAUCAAAGCAGGGAGCCCCGGCCCCAGAACUCUCAAUCUAAUGCUGGAUCUUGUAUUUCCGUUCAAGUCUUGUCCACGUCCAGGUCAGGACCGGUGACCGUGCAUGACAGCAAGCCAAGUCCAUCACAGUUGGGUAUUUUGAGACCAGCAAAGUUUGGUUAGUUACCUCUGACGAUAUAAAAGUUAUGUACAAGAAGUUUCCGAGUGGCUGUGCAAUAACUUUGUGGUGUGAUGAGGCUGUUGAACUAGAGCCGCCACCAGCGAAGAAAAAAAAGCGAGAUAGUGACAAGGGGAGUGGGAAGAGACAGGAACAGGAAGAAGAUGUGGAGAGCUAUUACAAAACUCUUACUAACAAGCAUAAAGAGUUGUAUCCUUUACAAAAAUGCGAUGUGAGCAGCACACGUGUGGCACAUACUAGCAGCACACGUGCACUCACAUCUUGCACAUAUCUGGCAAUUGAUAAGCAUGUGUGCUGCUGGCGUGCUGCAUGGUGUAUUUUGGACAUAGGCGUGGGACGAGUGCAGGAUAGAUGCUUUUGUUAGAGCUGUGGUACGUGUGCUGCACGUGUGUGUAGCCGCUUGUGUGCUGCUCGUAUUUUAAGCUUGUGUGCUGCACACGGUUUAUAGCAUGUGUGCAGCACACAUGUAAUGCACGCAUGCUACAUACAUGCCUAACAUGAUUGGUGCUUUCAUAUCGCACGUAUAUUACAUAUUGAGCAUGCAUGAUACUCAUAUCCUGCAUAUGUGCACCAUGCGUGUAAUACAAAUGGUGCACGCAUGCUACAUACAUGCCUAAUAUGAUUGGUGCUUUCAUAUUGCACGUAUAUGACACGUAUUUAGCGUGCAUGAUACUCAUAUCCUGCAUACAUACCAUUUGAGAAAGUUGUCACCAUGGAAACCACAUAUACAUGAUAUUAUUGGAUGAUAUACUGUGUAUACAUGAGUUCAGUCAGUUGUAACUGCAGAUGCAGGUGCAGAGCUCGGGCCUCUCCGAGCCCCACCCCACUGCAAGCGCUGCAACUGCGUUAAAUUUGCCAUUAUUGAUUGCAGUAUCGGGGUAGAGAUUUGUUUGAAGAUAACCUGUAUGACGAUAAAAUACAUUCUUUAAUUAAUGAAAACUUGUAUUUACUCGAUCUGUAGAUAGUGUCAAAGCUAGCCUUUUAGGGCACCCAAACCUUCUUUUCUCAUAGGGGUAUUUUUGGCCCCCACUUUGCCAACAGCACACAUCUGGGCGAGCUCCAUAUCGUCGAACACCAUCGCCAAUAUUUUUCUCUAAGUGUAGCCCGAGCUACUAAGGCACUUUAGAGUUGCCUGUUGCCCUGCACUUAGGGAUAGUGACGCUCUCCUAUAAUGAACAAAUCAUGGGUUACAUUCAAUUCAAAAUUCAUGCAAGAGAUGCAUGCAUGAUCAUGAGGCGUUUAUAAUUAUAUUGUUAAUAUAAUUAUAAUUACCGGUUGAGUGAGUUGAUCCACGUUUUUCUAGCUCUUCUACUCGCUCUGUUAAUUUUGUGACGAUGGAGAGUAACAUCGUUUGACUCGACUGACUUUCCCCCAAGCUAAACUGCUCUGAGGCUGUAGUAUCGAUGUUGUUGAAGUGCUGGUGACUUUCCCCCAAGCUAAACUGCUCUGAGGCUGUAGUAUCGAUGUUGUUGAAGUGCUGGGUUGUAUGGUGGAUAGCCACGGUAAAAUCUUGGUUCUUUGUCACGUAGUGAAAUAUCUCUUUCAAUAUCUCUUUCACUCUGAUCGCUGUCACUACUGUUUCCACUUUCGUUUUCGACAACUCUUCGAAUUUCAGCGACUUUUCAGUAGUUCUUUUUGACAGGUCUUUUGAAGCCUUCUCAGCACGUUUUUUUCUCUUCUCUUCAAUGGCUGAAGGAACUUCAACUAUCGGUAUGUUGUUUGGUUUUUUAGUUAGCUCUUUAGCUGUUGUUAUGAGUUCUUUUUUCCACCUGUGUAUAUUAAUUAAUUAUUAUUAUUACCCUCAAAUUACUAAUUUUGUACCAUAACUAUGUCAUUGUUCACUAUACAUGUGUGACAUAUACAAUGUACCAUUGUUUACUAUGUGCUACAUGCAUGAACAGCUAGGAAGCCAAAUACAAAAUAGUACUAAACAAACAUACAAACUCACCAAUUUCAAGAUUAAGAGCUUCAUAAGUUUUCUUUUGGAAAUUUGCCUGAACUAGCUCUCCCUUGGAGCAGCUUGAACCUUUUACUAUGCAAGUGACAGGUAAAACACUUAAUGUUUUGUCCACUGUCCACUCUAAAAGAGCAAAGCUGUAAGAAACCUUCGAUAGAUAUAGCUAUAGCUAGCUCGCUAUGCAAGAGAUUCAAAAUUGAGACAGCUGCAAGCUCAAAAGAAGUGCAGCUGCCUUGCUUGCAUGAUACAGUUACCAUGCAUACAUAUGUACAUAAUGUACAUAGUUAUUAUGUCACUGCACACCUUCAAAAAACAGAGACUGCAAGCUAGCUACGUAUAUAUAGCUACACUGUAGAUAGACAUGGAAAACGCUCCACAAACAAAGAAAAGGCCACGAUACAACUUGUACCUUAAGGAUGACAAUCCUCUUGAAGGAAUGCCCCGAACCACAAAGAAAUGGCUUGGCCUUAGUGAAAAUGGUAAAUUCUGAUAUAAAAUAAUUAUGACUGACUUUUUUAUGCACUAUAAUUUAUGCGACGCAGCGUAAUAGUUAUCACUUUCCCACUCCCAAUACUAUAUAGCUGAUUGCUGCUGCAAUAUCAUCAGAAAGUGAUCACGACGACGAAAAACGCAAUUGACGCAGCAGAAACAGCUUCAAAUAUUGUUCCCACACAAGCAACCGAGGUUGAUACCGCUGAGUCUGACACUGUUCGCAUACAAACAUCUGAGCUCGAGCAAGUUCAUGAGACAGAAACUGAACCCCAUGGCAGGUGUUGAUAAAGCUUCCAGUAAUGCUGAAACGAAAACCGCUAAUCUCGAUGAAGCCCUCUAUCCAGGUACCUCAAUCUCACUACACGUAGCAUUGGUACUUAUUCUAGCUUUUGUGAUUAAUCACAAAAAUUAAUAUCAAAUGAAGCUCUGGUGAAUGCACUGAUACUUCCAUCGAAUAUCUUCCCAACAAGUCUCUACAAGUUUUACAAGUACCUGAACAUAAAACAAUCUGACAUCAUUCGUUGUCCGUCCUGUCAGAAUCCUAUUGACGAACCUGACGGUGUAAGAUCAUGCCCAAAUUUGGUUUGUGACCAGGUGUUCAGUUCCAUUGCUGAUAUAUCGUAUUUUGUUCGACUUCCUUUGGAGAAACAAGUUCAAGAAAAAUACAGCCAGCCCGGAUUUCUUCAAAGGGUCAGGCAUAGAUUUACACGUCCAAGACCAGAGCAAGACCAGAGAAAGGUAAGGUUUGGCUAAGGAAAAUUUUUGUCUAAGGCAUCUAAUAUCUCAUUGCUCUGGAAUACUGAUGGUGUUCCAGUAUUUAAAUCAUCACUCUUCUUUGUAAUAAGUGAACUUCCUUACACGCUCAGAAUGAAAUGGCAAAACAUCAUCUUAGCAGGAAUGUGGUUUAGUUCUAUUAAGCAAAAUAUGAAGUUGUUUUUGAGGCCAUUCCAAAAGACAUUGUCGAUACUACGGUAUAGUAGUGAAAGCAUAUGGCAAGUCAACGUCGUUCUCUUAGCUGGUACAUGUGACCUACCGGCUAAAAUGCAUCGUUUAAAACUUCAAUGGAGCUGUUCAAAAUGCCGGAAAUACGUUUACAAUAGGACCUAACAGGAGAACACAUGUAUAUCCAUACAAUGAAGGAGAUCCGUCUGGGCCAAUCAGGACGACACCAUUGAAGAUGCAAAGUACCUAACGGAAACCGGAAAAACUCGACACGGAGUGCUUGGACCAUCUUGAUAUAACUGCUUACACAAUUUUGAUAGCCUCUACACAGGCUCUCCUUUUUCUGUUCUUUAUCACAAUCGUUCAAUAAGAUAAAA